AUGGAUGAUAAUUUUAUAAACAAAUCGGAUGAACAGUUAAUUAAAUCUUUGCUACAAAACAAACCAACAUUCAGUGAAGAAUUAAUUGAUUUUUAUCUUUCACAUAAUAGUUGUAAAGUUACUGAGAAAUCAUGCCUUCGAUUAAUUUCACUUAUUUUGCACAAAUCGAUAGAUAAUUUAAUAAGCAGUUCGAUGAACUUAGAACCUAACAAAACACACAGUGAUAAUGACAGCGACAAUAAUAAUUUUUCUAAAGUAACCCGUUUUAUAUAUAAAUAUGAAAACAGUGAUAAUUAUAUAUAUAUAUAUAUAUAUAUUAAUUCCUUUGCAUCUAAUAUGCAUACAUUUGAAAGCUUGAUUUUAUUCUUUAUUUUAUUUAUAAUAAUUUAUACAUAUUUAAACAUUUUCAUAUGUUUUUUUUUUUUGUUUUUUUUUUUUGUUUUUUUUUUUUGUUUUUUUUUUUUGUUUUUUUUUUUGUUUUUUUAAUUAUAG
rnacentral:lncRNA from 1 species